GUAAUGUCCGGCCCAUGUAAAAUUCCAGGGAGAGGUAAUACACUCUCUAAAAUAAAGAAAGGAAAGGUCAUG
rnacentral:tRNA from 1 species